GCGCGAAAACUUUACAAUGCCGGCAACGGCGAUAAGGGAACCUCGAGUGCCAGGUUACAAAUCUGGCUGUCGUGAUGCCUAAAAAGCAUUGCAUAGCAAGGGCCGGGCAAGACCGGUGCCAGCCGCCGCGGUAACACCGGCGGCUCGAGUGGUAACCGUUAUUAUUGGGUCUAAAGGGUCUGUAGCCGGCCGGGUAAGUCUCUUGGGAAAUCUGGCAGCUUAACUGUCAGGCUUUCAGGAGAUACUGCCUGGCUCGAGGCCGGGAGAGGUGAGAGGUACUUCAGGGGUAGGGGUGAAAUCUUGUAAUCCUUGAAGGACCACCAGUGGCGAAGGCGUCUCACCAAAACGGACCUGACGGCAAGGGACGAAAGCUAGGGGCACGAACCGGAUUAAAUACCCGGGUAGUCCUAGCCGUAAACGAUACUCGCUAGGUGUCGGCCACGGUGCGACCGUGGUCGGUGCCGUAGGGAAGCCGUGAAGCGAGCCACCUGGGAAGUACGGCCGCAAGGCUGAAACUUAAAGGAAUUGGCGGGGGAGCA
rnacentral:rRNA from 1 species